UGGCUCAGAUUGAACGCUGGCGGCAGGCCUAACACAUGCAAGUCGAACGGUAACAGGAAGCAGCUUGCUGCUUCGCUGACGAGUGGCGGACGGGUGAGUAAUGUCUGGGAAACUGCCUGAUGGAGGGGGAUAACUACUGGAAACGGUAGCUAAUACCGCAUAAUGUCGCAAGACCAAAGAGGGGGACCUUCGGGCCUCUUGCCAUCGGAUGUGCCCAGAUGGGAUUAGCUAGUAGGUGGGGUAACGGCUCACCUAGGCGACGAUCCCUAGCUGGUCUGAGAGGAUGACCAGCCACACUGGAACUGAGACACGGUCCAGACUCCUACGGGAGGCAGCAGUGGGGAAUAUUGCACAAUGGGCGCAAGCCUGAUGCAGCCAUGCCGCGUGUAUGAAGAAGGCCUUCGGGUUGUAAAGUACUUUCAGCGGGGAGGAAGGGAGUAAAGUUAAUACCUUUGCUCAUUGACGUUACCCGCAGAAGAAGCACCGGCUAACUCCGUGCCAGCAGCCGCGGUAAUACGGAGGGUGCAAGCGUUAAUCGGAAUUACUGGGCGUAAAGCGCACGCAGGCGGUUUGUUAAGUCAGAUGUGAAAUCCCCGGGCUCAACCUGGGAACUGCAUCUGAUACUGGCAAGCUUGAGUCUCGUAGAGGGGGGUAGAAUUCCAGGUGUAGCGGUGAAAUGCGUAGAGAUCUGGAGGAAUACCGGUGGCGAAGGCGGCCCCCUGGACGAAGACUGACGCUCAGGUGCGAAAGCGUGGGGAGCAAACAGGAUUAGAUACCCUGGUAGUCCACGCCGUAAACGAUGUCGACUUGGAGGUUGUGCCCUUGAGGCGUGGCUUCCGGAGCUAACGCGUUAAGUCGACCGCCUGGGGAGUACGGCCGCAAGGUUAAAACUCAAAUGAAUUGACGGGGGCCCGCACAAGCGGUGGAGCAUGUGGUUUAAUUCGAUGCAACGCGAAGAACCUUACCUGGUCUUGACAUCCACGGAAGUUUUCAGAGAUGAGAAUGUGCCUUCGGGAACCGUGAGACAGGUGCUGCAUGGCUGUCGUCAGCUCGUGUUGUGAAAUGUUGGGUUAAGUCCCGCAACGAGCGCAACCCUUAUCCUUUGUUGCCAGCGGUCCGGCCGGGAACUCAAAGGAGACUGCCAGUGAUAAACUGGAGGAAGGUGGGGAUGACGUCAAGUCAUCAUGGCCCUUACGACCAGGGCUACACACGUGCUACAAUGGCGCAUACAAAGAGAAGCGACCUCGCGAGAGCAAGCGGACCUCAUAAAGUGCGUCGUAGUCCGGAUUGGAGUCUGCAACUCGACUCCAUGAAGUCGGAAUCGCUAGUAAUCGUGGAUCAGAAUGCCACGGUGAAUACGUUCCCGGGCCUUGUACACACCGCCCGUCACACCAUGGGAGUGGGUUGCAAAAGAAGUAGGUAGCUUAACCUUCGGGAGGGCGCUUACCACUUUGUGAUUCAUGACUGGGGUGAAGUCGUAACAAGGUAACCGUAGGGGAACCUGCGGUUGGAUCACCUCCUUACCUUAAAGAAGC
rnacentral:rRNA from 1 species